rnacentral:lncRNA from 1 species
UCGGAUCUGGAGAGAGGGAGAGGGAGAGACGAACGAAGGCGACUCAGAAGAAAGAAAUAAAAAAGAGAAGACGCACCUCGUCGGCCGGUGCCUUCUUCUGAGACGAACGAAGGGCGGCGGAGGGAGCUCGGAUCUGGAGAGCUCGCGGUCGUUAACAGCCCUAACGACCGGUGCCUUCUUCUUCUGAGACGAACGAAGGACGGCGGAGGGAGCUCGGAUCUGGAGAGCUCGCGAAAGCGACGAUCGCCGGUGGAGGAGUCGGCAAAGAGGGGAAAAGAGAGAG